rnacentral:tRNA from 1 species
GGAUAUAGCUCAGUGAUAAAGUGCUUGCCUGGCAUGCAGGAGGCCCUGGGUUCAAAUCCCAGAAACACA